rnacentral:lncRNA from 10 species
AAAUAAAUAAGAUGGAAUAUAUACUAAAAAAGUACAAAAUAUAUUUAAAAAACAAAAGUUAAUAAAUUGUUGGUUCAUAUAAAAACAAACUUGGUAAAGAAAAUAAAAAUAGUAAAUUGAAAUAGUAAAAGAUAUGUUAAAAGAAACUGGUGAGUCGCAAAAAUGGGCAAAAUACAUAAAAAAAGAAUGGGAAAUACAAAAAUAAAAACUGAAAAAUAUGAAACAGUAAAAAAGAAAGAAAAGAAGUAAAUCUAAUCUACUUGUAAUUGGGUUUCCAGAGGAGAAGCAAAGAAAAUGAGACAGAGCAUUAUUUUGAGAAAUAAUAGUCAAGAGAGUUCUAUAUUUGAUUUUUUAAAAUCAACGGAUUCAAGAAUUCAGCAUAUUUCAAAACAAAUAAAAUCGUUGUAUUAGUUUGUUAUCACAGUGUUACAAAGAUCUUCCAAAGACUAGGUAAUUUAUAAAGGAGAGAGGUUUAAUUGACUCACAAUUCCACAAGGCUGGGGAGGCCUCAGGAAACUUACAAUAAUGGGGAAAGGGGAAGCAGGUAUGUCUUAACAGGUGCAGGAGAGAAAGAGAGCCUGUGAGAGCACAGGAAAAGCUACCAUUUCUAAAACCAUCAGUUCUGAGAAUUCACUCACUAUUAAGAGAACAGCAUAAGUGAAACUGCACCCAUAAUCCAAUCACUUCCCUCCCUCUAAACGUGGGGAUUACAAUUCCAGGUAAGAUUUGGGUGAUGAGACACAGAGCCAAACCAUAUCAAUCACAAUUACAAACAAAAUGAAUAUUAUAAUACUAACAAACAUCAAAGACAAUGAGAAAAUCUCUAAAAGCAGCUGGAGAAAACAGCAAGAAUCAUUAACUUUUAACGGAAACUAUGAAAGACACUAAAAAAAUAGAAUUAUAUCUUCACAAAUUAUUUUGAAUUAUCUCCAAAAAUUAAAGUAAGAAUACUUUCUAACAAAGCUGAGAAAAUUAUUAAACAGCAUUCUUCCUUUAUAAGAAAUAUUAAACAUGUUUGUCAAGUUAAAAAAGAAUGAUUUAAUAUAAGAAUGGAGAGGCAAAAAGAAAUACACCACUCUGGAAAGGACAAAAUAAUUGAGUAAAUAUCAAAAUACAUAAGCUGUUUACAUUUUAAACAACAGCAAGGCUGGGUGCAAUGGCUCACACCUUUAAUCCCAGCACUUUGGGAUGCCAAGGUGGGUGCAUUACUUAAUGUCAGGAGUUCAAGACCAGCAUGGCCAACAUGGUGAAACCCCAUCUCUAUUAAAAAUACAAAAAUUAAUUGGGUGAGGUGGUUCACGCCUGUAAUCCCAGCUACUCGGGAGGCAAGGCAGAAAAUUAGUUUGAACCCAGGAGGCAGAGGUUGCAGUGGGCCCAGAUCAUGCCACUGCUCUCCAUCCUGAGUGACAAAGCUAGAUCUAAGACUCCAUCUCAAAAAAACAAAUAAGCAAAACAAUAGCAAUAUCUUGUGGAGUUGAUAAUAUGUUUAGAAGUAAAAUGACAAAAAUAGCGACAUUGAGAAAUAAAAGGAAAUUGUUGUAUUUUUUAAUAUAAUAAGAGAAUACAUUUAAGAUACAUAAAUUAGAUACAGAUGCAUUUGGUAAUUUACAAGGUAUUUGCUAAAUAUAGUGAUACUAAAAAUUAUGACAAGUAUUAGUAAAGGAGAAAAUUGAAUAACCAAAACCUGAUUAAUGCAGAAAGUGAAAUAAAAAAUGGUAGGAAAGGAGAAAUACAACAAAACAACACCUAAAAACAAGAGCAUCAACGACAGAGGAAGAAAACAGAACAUGGAGAAAACAAGUAAUAAAAUAGCAGACCUAAACAAAAAUAUACAAAUAAUUGAAUUAAAUGUAAAUAGAUUCAGUACUACUUCAAGCAAAACAUAGUAGAUUAUGAGAUUGAAUUAUAAAUAAAUGCAACUACAUACUGCUUGAAGAAUGCAUGUUAAAUAAGGCAAUGCUCUAGGUUCAAAGCAAACAUAUACAAACCAAGUGACAUGGCUUUAUUACAAAAAAGACAAAGUGGUCCUUCAGAAAAAUAAAUGUGAUAAACUUUAAAGAUAACUAUUUCGUAAUUUUAAAAUGGUCAUUUCAACAAGAAGAUAUAAUCAAAUUUUGUAUGUACCUAAUAUACCUUUAUUUUAGGUAAAGAAAUAAAUGAUAUAAAUUUAUGGCUUUAAGUGCCUAUGUUAGAAAAAAGUGAAGCUUGAAUAUCAAUAAUGUCAGCUUAAAAGCCAGAAAUAAGAUGAGAAGUUUAAAUUUGAAGAAAAACAGAAAGCAGGAAAAAAUUUUAAAAUGAGAAAGCAUUGAGCUAGAAAACAGAUAUACUGUACAGAAUAUCAGUAAAGUAAAAUUUUGCAGCUGUAAAAUGAUAUGACAAAACCUCUCAAAACUGAUCUAGAAACGGGAAAACAAAUUAUCAAUAUCCUGAACAAAAUAGGAGAUAUCCAUAUAGAUUUUACAGUUAAUGAAAGAACAUUGAAGGAUAUUAUAAAUAAUCUUUUGCCAAUAAAUUUGAAAAUUCAGAUGAAAUUUACAAAUUAGUGGAAAGUUAAAAUUUACCAAAAUAGGUACAAGAAAAAAUAAUCUAAAAAUUACUUUAUAUGUAACAGAAAUUGACAUUUUUAUUAAACACUUUACUCAAAGAAAAUUCCAGGAUUGUGUAAGUACAACGACAGAACUCUAUUUCACAAGUCAGAAAAAUGCCUUUAUUUCAUGUUAGUCUUGAAUAAAUUUAGUGAGCACAGAAUAUUUAAUUGGCUAUUAUGUUACGUCAACAAAUGGAAGAUGUUUAACUCUUCCUCGGCUUCCGUUGUUGCUGUUGAAAAAUCAGCUUUCAGUGACUUGUUCCUGUGAAGUUAAUCUGUUUGCUUUUUUUCUCUCUAUUAAUGUUAAGAUUGUUCUCUUGUACUUGCUUUGACAGCACAUACAAUAAAAUUUGCAAUGUACAGGGAAGAUUAACUGACCCGCUGCACGAAGAUGACACACAAAUUUAUGAAGAUGGUUCUUUUUAUUUUCCUUAAAUUUUAGCAACAUUGUACAAGGAUUCCCUUUGAUCCACUUCCCUGUCAACAUUCGUCUUCUUUCCUCUUUCUGAUGAAAGUCAUUCUAAUAGGUAUGAGGCACUAUCUCACUGUGAUUUUAAUUUUUCAUUUCCCUAAUGAUUAAUGAUGUCAAUAAUUUUUAAUAUCUGUUAGCCAUUAAUUAAAGAAAUGGAAGAAGACACAAAUAAAUAGAAAGAUGUAUCUGUUCAUAGACUGGAAAAAUAAAUAUUGUUAAAAUUUCCAUACUACCCAAAGUGAACUACAUAUUCAGUAUAAUCCCUAUCAUAAUUCCAAUAUCUUUUUUAUAAAUUAAGAAAAAAAUUCUAAAAUUCAUAUGGAACCAUAAAGAAUGCAAAUAGCCAAAGCAAUCAUGAGCAAAAAGAACAAAGCUGAAGGCAUUACACUACCAUAUUUCAAACUAUACUACAAAGUGAUAGUAGUUGAAACAACAUGCUACUACUGGCCUAAAAACUGACACAUAAACUAAUGCGACAAAAUAGGGAACUCAGAAAUAAACCCAAACAUCUACAGUCACACAUCUUCAGUCAGCUGAUCUCCCACAAAGGUGCCAAGAAUAUACAAAUGGGAAAAGAAUAGUCUUCUCAAGAACUGGUGUUGGGAAAACUGGAUAUCCAUAUUCAAAAGAAUAAAAUUGGACUCUUAUCUCACACAACAUAAUAAAAUUAACUCAAAAUUGAUUAAAGACUUAAACAUAAGACCUGAAACUUGAGAACUAUUUGAAGAAAACCUAAAGAAAAAAGUAUCAUACAUUGGUCUGGACAAUUUUUGUUUAAUACUUGACCCCCAAAGCCCAGGCAACAAAAACAAAGAUAGAUAAGUGGAAUUACAUCAAAAUAAAAAGCUUCUGCUUAUCAAAGCGAACAAUUCGUUGAGUGAAAAGACAACUUAUGAAUUGGGAGAAAAUAUUUGCAAGCCGUACAUCUAAUAAGGGGCUAAUACCCAACAUAUAUAAGGAGCUCAACUCUACAGAAAGAAAACAAAUAAUCCAAUUAAGAAAUGGGCAAGACACCUGAACAGAUUCCUUCUAUUCUUUCUCUAUUCUAUUCUUUAUCUAAAGAAGACACACAGAUCUGGUUUUGUAUCCAGGCUCUGGGUCAGUAGCGUAAUCUCUGAGAAAAUAGUCUACAGUUUCUCUAGGUGGCUAGAUCAUAGGCACUGAUAUAUUACCAACUCAAAUACUUAUUUUUCAAAAUAAGACAAGGAAGGAGAAAAAACCAUUGGGUUUCAUAUUUGGAGAAAGGAUUCAGAAGUUUUUAUGAUGUACUGGAAAUAAAAGACCCUCUUUCAUACCUCCUUCAUAUCCCUCAAUAUGAGGUGGACUUUUCAUGUUUUCCUGUGGCCUUGAGAAAGAUGUAAGUUUCAAUUCCCAGAUGCAUUAAUUUCCUGUCACAGAUGUAACAAAUAACCAAAAGUAUAAUAAAACAAAACUUAUUUAUUUAUUUAUUUGUUUACAGGUAGGUUCUCACUCCUUCACCCAGGCUGGAAUGCAGUGGCACAAUCAUAGGUCACUGCAAACUUGAACUACUGGGAUCAAGUGAUUUUCCUGACACAGCUUCACAAAUAGCUGGUCUACAGCUGUGCACCACUACAUCCAGCUACAAAAACAACACAUAUUUAUUAUAAUACAGCUUUGGAGGUCAGAAGUACAAAAUUAGUCUCAUUGGUCCAAAGUCAAGGUGUGACCAGAGCUAGUUCCUUCCAGAGGCUUCAGGGGAGAGAGAAUUCCUUUCCUGCAACUUUUCAGCUUCUAGAGGCUGUCUUUAUGUCUUGACUUGUGGUCCUUUCCUAUACCUUAAAAGGCAGCAUUAUUGUAGCAUCUUAAACUCUUUCUGUGCUUCUAGCAUCAUAACAUCUUUAUUUUUUAUUUUAUUAUCAAUUUUAAUUGCCACAUAGUAAUUGUAUAUAUUUAUGAGGUAUAGUAUGCUAUUUUUAUGAGUGCAUGCAACUUGUAAAGAUCAAAAUCAAAGUUAUUAGCAUACUCAUCACCUCAAACAUUUGUCAUUUCUUUGUGUUGGGAAUAUUCAAAAUCUGCUCUUCUAGCUAUUUGAAAAUAUGCAACAAAUUGUUGUUAAUUAUAUUAAUCGCAAAGUGCUAUAGAACACUAGAACUUAUUCUUCCUAUUUAGCUGUAAUUUUGUAUAUGUUAACCAAAUUCUGGCUAUUCCCUUCUCGUCCUAUCCUUCCCAUCUUCUAGUAACCAUUAUUCUACUCUCUGCUUCUAUGACAUCAACUUUUUUAGCUUCCUUACAUAAGUGAGAACAUGAGAUAUAUUUUUCUUCUGUUCCUGGCUCAUUUGACUUAACAUAAUGUCCUUCAAGCUCAUCUAUGAAGCUACGAAUGACAAGAUUUCUUUCUUUUUUAUAGCUGAAAAGUGUGCCAUUUUGUAUGUAUACCACAUUUUCUUUAUUCAUUCUUCUGUUAAUGGACAAUUAGAUUGAGUCCAUAUUUUGGCUUCUGCAGCCUCUAACUCCUGGGCUCAAGUAAUUCUCCCACUUCAGCCUCCUGAGUAGCUAGGACUACAGGUGCAUGCUACUACACACAGCUAAUUUUUGUUUUUGUUUUUGUUUUUGCAGGGAUGGCUUCUCAGUGUGUUGCCCAGGCUGGUCUUGAACUCCUGGCCUCAAGCAAUGCUCCCACCUUAGCCUCCAAAAAUGUUGAGAUGACAGGUGUGAGCCACCACACUCAAUUGCUUAAUGUAUUUUAAUCAUAAAAUGAAAUCAGUAAUUUUCACAUCUUUGUUAUUUAAUAUGUGAAAGAAAGGGAUUUCUGCAGAUAAGAGUAAUUUUUCAAAACAAUAAUAAAUAUGAAUUAAAUUAUAUCAAUCAUACAGCUGAAAAUAAGUAAAAUUAAAUGUCAGAUUAUCUAAAAUCAUCAAUAUAUUCAGUGAAUAUCAAUGAUUAUAAGUGUUUGUUGAUUUUAAAAUCUGAGUGUUAUGUGUAAAAUUUAAGAAAAUACAUAAUAGUGCCUUAAGUAUUAUAAAUUCUAAUAGCAUAUUUUGGGAAAUAAAGUUAAAACUAUUAAUUGCUGAGUUUACAGUAUAUAACCUCAGUGGAUGAUAAUGAGAGAUUAGAUUAUUGUGGAAUAUGAGAAUAUGUAUAAAAGUCAGAAAGAAAUAUUUUUAGCUGAUAUUCUUAAUAGUUAAGGGGUAGGUUUAUUAUUUUCCAUAAGUGGAUUAGUGGAGAUUUUUGCAAAAAUAUAAAAGUAAAGAUAUCACUACUACUGCAAUUAUUUUGCAUUUCUAUAAUGUCUUUUUAUUGAAACACUUAUAAAUCCUAUAAAACAAGUACUGGUACAUGUUCUCUAUAAAAUAAAUGAAUAUGGUUCGUAAGACUGUCAAAUUCCUUUAUAACCUCACGAUACCUUAUAGAGUGGCUGUUACUCUUUCAAUAGGAAUAGCUAUGGUUCAUAGGAUUUAUGGGUAAUCUAUACUGCUGUGGUAUCUUGGGAGUGAUAGCUCCUUUAGAUAUUUUAUCUUCUGUUAUAACCCUUACAAAUAACACAGUUUAUUUUCAUGAGGCUUGAAAUAGCCAUAGCUAAUUUCAAAAGAAUUUACUUCCUGUGGUUGUAAUACUUUAUUAUAGAAAGUACUGUACAAAGAAGUUACAGUUUGAGUGACAGUUAAUUCUCACAUAUGUAUAAAAUAUAUUCCAUGUUAAUUAACUUACUAUUUUUUUUCCCUUGGCAUAGUGUUAUGUACCAUGAGGGUAGACUUAUAACCAUUAAACAUUUUAACUUUCUUCCAUAGUAUUGUGUGUGUAUGUGAAUUUGUAUGCAAUUAAAAUAAAUCAAUACAGUGAUGCAGGGUACAUUCUGGUCGACAUGUGUCUUAUUUUAGAUGAAUUGAAAUGACAAGCGUGAUAAAACUAUUUACAUUUUAUCUCAAAAUAUUUUAUUCCAUUUCCUUUUCAUAGACAUAAUACAUUUACUAAAAUAAAAAUAUUGACAAAAUGUUAUUCAUAUUCUCAGAAAAUGUUAAAACAUACAUUGGCACUUUUGUGGAGCAUCAUUUCUGCAAAAUGAAGUAAAAGUUGAUGUUCACGUUUUUGUCAUUAAUGAAAUCAUUUAUCCAGAAAAGUUUGUAAAGAAAAAUAAUGGGUAUAUGCAAACCUGCAAAGCAAAGUUAUUCAAUAAUACAGGCCUUGGAUAUGCGGUUGUAAGGCAAGAAAUCAUACUUAUUAUUGCCCUACUCUGAAAACAUUUCAGGUUGAAAUUAUUUAUAGUAUUCUAAUUGCUACUGCUAGGUUACACUUAACUAUCUAUAGAAAAAUCCAAAUAUUUUACAUCACAUAAUUACUCGGCACAAAAAUACCAAAGUUCUUGUCCAAAAUACGUAUUUCCUUUUAUCGCUUGGGGGAAUACUAUAGGACAAUUUUUAAGUACAGUUUCCUAAACAUGACCAAAAACAUGUUUAAGUCCUUAUUUUUGCUCACAUUACGUGUUUUUUUGUUCUUUUUCCCCUAGAUUUAUUGUAUAGUUGAGAAAUUAAAAAUGCAUUUAUUUACUGUGUGCCAUGUGAUGGUGUGCACCAUUCCCAUAGGUUUCUUUUUGUUAUUGUGAGAACAUUUAAGAUCAAUCCUCCUAGCAAAUGUCAAGUAUACAAUAUAGUAUAACUUACUAUAGUCACCAUGAUGACUUUAAAGUUCUAGAACUUGUUCACUCGUUCAUUCUGUUAAACCGAAUAUUUGUAUCCUUUGACCAGCAUCCACCCCAUUCUCUCCACCCUCUAAUCCCUGGUAACCCCCAUUCUACUCUGUUUUCUACGAGUUAAAAUGUUUUAGGUUGCACAUAUAAGAGAGAUGGGCCGGGUGCAGUGGCUCAUACCUGUAAUUCCAGCGCUUUGGGAGGCCGAG